rnacentral:rRNA from 1 species
UCUCAGAGAUUAAGCCAUGCAUGUCUAAGUACAUACCUUCAAACGGUGAAACCGCGAAUGGCUCAUUAAAUCAGCUAUGGUUCCUUGGAUCGUACAUUGUACAUGGAUAACUGUACUAAUUCUAGAGCUAAUACAUGCCACUAUGCCCUGACCCGCAAGGGAACGGGUGGAUUUAUUAGAACAGAACCAACCGGGGGCGGCUUCGGUCGUUCCUGUUGCAUUCUGUGAUGACUCUGGAUAACUUCACUGAUCGCAGUCGGCCUUGUGUCGGCGACGGAUCUUUCAAAUGUCUGCCCUAUCAAUUUACGAUGGUAGGUGACCUGCCUACCAUGGUUCUAACGGGUAACGGGGAAUCAGGGUUCGAUUCCGGAGAGGGAGCCUGAGAAACGGCUACCACUUCCAAGGAAGGCAGCAGGCACGCAAAUUACCCAAUCCCGGCACGGGGAGGUAGUGACGAAAAAUACGGAUACGGGACUCAAUAGAGGCUCCGUAAUUCGAAUGAGUACAAUUUAAAUCCUUUAACGAGGAUCAACUGGAGGGCAAGUCUGGUGCCAGCAGCCG